rnacentral:rRNA from 1 species
UACGGGGGGUGCGAGCGUUGUUCGGAAUCACUGGGCUUAAAGGGCGCGUAGGCGGGUGCUCAAGUCCGGGGUGAAAUCCCACAGCUCAACUGUGGAACUGCCUCGGAUACUGGGUGUCUCGAGGGUGGCAGGGGUAUGCGGAACUAUCGGUGGAGCGGUGAAAUGCGUUGAUAUCGAUAGGAACUCCGGUGGCGAAGGCGGCAUACUGGUCCACUUCUGACGCUGAGGCGCGAAAGCCAGGGGAGCAAACGGG